rnacentral:rRNA from 1 species
UGAUCCAGAGUACCACGGGACACGUGAAACCCUGUGGGAAGCAGGAGGGACCACCCUCCAAGGCUAAAUACUACCUAGUGACCGAUAGCGUAUAGUACCGUGAGGGAAAGGUGAAAAGAACCCCGGGCGGGGAGUGAAAUAGAACCUGAAACCCUGCACUUACAAGCUGUGGAAGCACAUUUCUUGUGUGACCGCGUACUUUUUGUAGAACGGGCCAACGAGUUACGUUAAGUAGCAAGGUUAAGCACUUAAGGUGCGGAGCCGUAGCGAAAGCGAGUUUUAACUGAGCGUUCAGUUACUUGACGUAGACCCGAAACCGGGCGA